UACGAAGGGUGCAAGCGUUACUCGGAAUUACUGGGCGUAAAGCGUGCGUAGGUGGUUUGUUAAGUCUGAUGUGAAAGCCCUGGGCUCAACCUGGGAACUGCAAUGGAAACUGGCGGGCUGGAGUAUGGCAGAGGGGGGUGGAAUUCCGCGUGUAGCAGUGAAAUGCGUAGAGAUGCGGAGGAACACCGAUGGCGAAGGCAGCCCCCUGGGCCAAUACUGACGCUCAGGCACGAAAGCGUGGGGAGCAAACAGG
rnacentral:rRNA from 1 species